GUGCCAGCAGCCGCGGUAAUACGUAGGUGGCAAGCGUUGUCCGGAAUUAUUGGGCGUAAAGCGCGCGCAGGCGGCCUUUUAAGUCUGAUGUGAAAGCCCCCGGCUCAACCGGGGAGGGCCAUUGGAAACUGGAAGGCUUGAGUACAGAAGAGAAGAGUGGAAUUCCACGUGUAGCGGUGAAAUGCGUAGAGAUGUGGAGGAACACCAGUGGCGAAGGCGACUCUUUGGUCUGUAACUGACGCUGAGGCGCGAAAGCGUGGGGAGCAAACAGGAUUAGAUACCCUGGUAGUCCACGCCGUAAACGAUGAGUGCUAGGUGUUGGGGGGUUUCCGCCCCUCAGUGCUGAAGCUAACGCAUUAAGCACUCCGCCUGGGGAGUACGGCCGCAGGGCUGGAACUCAAAGGAAUUGACGGGCGGUGUGUACAAGCGGUGGAGCAUGUGGUUUAAUUCGAUGCAACGCGAAGAACCUUACCUACUCUUGACAUCCAGAGAACUUUCCAGAGAUGGAUUGGUGCCUUCGGGAACUCUGAGACAGGUGCUGCAUGGCUGUCGUCAGCUCGUGUUGUGAAAUGUUGGGUUAAGUCCCGCAACGAGCGCAACCCUUAUCCUUUGUUGCCAGCGGUUCGGCCGGGAACUCAAAGGAGACUGCCAGUGAUAAACUGGAGGAAGGUGGGGAUGACGUCAAGUCAUCAUGGCCCUUACGAGUAGGGCUACACACGUGCUACAAUGGCGUAUACAAAGAGAAGCGACCUCGCGAGAGCAAGCGGACCUCAUAAAGUACGUCGUAGUCCGGAUUGGAGUCUGCAACUCGACUCCAUGAAGUCGGAAUCGCUAGUAAUCGUAGAUCAGAAUGCUACGGUGAAUACGUUCCCGGGCCUUGUACACACCGCCCGUC
rnacentral:rRNA from 1 species